UACGGGGGGAGCAAGCGUUGUUCGGAUUCAUUGGGCGUAAAGGGCGCGUAGGCGGCUUGGCAAGUCCGACAUGAAAUGUACCGGUUCAACCGGGGCACUGUGUCGGAAACUGCCUGGCUUGAGGUCGAGGGAGGAGAGUGGAAUUCCGUGGUGUAGCGGUGAAAUGCGUAGAUAUCAGGAGGAACACCCGUGGCGAAGGCGGCUCUCUAUCUCGAUUCUGACGCUGAGACGCGAAAGCGUGGGGAGCAAACGGG
rnacentral:rRNA from 1 species